AAGUCGUAACAAGGUUUCCGUAGGUGAACCUGCGGAAGGAUCAUUAAUAAGAUAUUUUUUAGGGCUAGCCUUGUGCUAGUUCCUAGAAAACCUCUAUCAACCCACCUUGUGUGCACCGUUAAAUCGUUUUUUGUUUUGUCUUCCGGUGUGUUUUUCAUUCUUCGGAAUGGAGGCCGCCGGAAGGUGAAACGAAUAUACAAACUUGAAAAUCUUUUAUAUUUUGUCUGAAGUCAUUUUAUUUUUGAAAUAAAAAUUUAAAAAACAACUUUCAACAACGGAUCUCUUGGCUCCC
rnacentral:misc_RNA from 1 species